UACGGAGGGUGCGAGCGUUGUCCGGAAUCAUUGGGCGUAAAGGGCGCGUAGGUGGCCCGGUCAGUUCGUGGUGAAAGCGUGGGGCUCGACCCUGCGUCGGCCAUGAAUACUGCCGCGGCUGGAGCACUGUAGAGGCAGGCGGAAUUCCGGGUGUAGCGGUGGAAUGCGUAGAGAUCCGGAAGAACACCGGUGGCGAAGGCGGCCUGCUGGGCAGUUGCUGACACUGAGGCGCGACAGCGUGGGGAGCAAACAGG
rnacentral:rRNA from 1 species